CCGUGGGGGGGCCAUGGGGGACGGAAAAUUAGAAUGCACACUGGCGCAGUUUAGCCCAGCUACGCCUCUGAUAGAAAUGGAUAGUAACUGUAGGUAGGAUUUUGUGGCAAGGUUCGUUUUCUGAUACAGAAAGUUUUGGGAGAAGGACCAUUCAUGGUGAGUCUGUUUUAGAUGAAGAGACUCAUGCAGAUGUAUACAUACACAAGCCAAAUCACAAUAGAAAGUGGCAUUUUUUUAUUCUAAAACUUUUUAUUUUUGAAGAACUGGCCGUUGCUUCGCCAGUUUUUGUAGCAUAAACAAUACACUAAAAUAUCUACCAUCAGGCUCUUUAAAGAGCAUCAAGCUUAAACACAGCUAAGUUUUUGCCUAUUCCUUCAUUUGGCAUUUUGUUUUAAUGCUAGGAGCAAGUUUUGAUGUUCACAGGUUGAAAAGUUGAAAAACUAUAAAGUUCACAAAAUCCUCAAGUUGAAAAAGUAGAAAAAUCCUACAUGCUGGUUUGCCUUUAUCCAGGAAUGGCUGCUGACUUUUCAGCACUUUUGUUAUCCAAGUCUUUUCACAGGGCUAACAAUCACUGCGGGAAAUAGGGCAGGCCCAGUUCUUCCUAACUCACAGGGGUGAACUUGGACACCAUGUGUGUUUGAGAGAGUCCAUGUUUAUGUCUUUGUAUAGGACAGGCACUGGAGGAUGGUAGAUUCAAGUUAUGCCAUUUAGAACCAAGCCUGUUGCCUUGUUUCCUUACCCAGUGGUGGUGGUGGUAGUUGGUAAUCAACGUCACUCCCAGAACCAUCACAAGCUUGGGCAAGUUGUGUAAAUGUUAGCAAAGACCUCAGGUUUUAUAUAACUUGCCUUCAUUGCUAUGCAAAUAUCUCAUGUGGAAGAGCUAUAGCUCAAGGACGCAGAUAAUGGGUAAAAUAGGCUCCAAGAGUCUGCAUGUUUUUUCCCAUUUAAGACAGACAUAAGCUGUUCAUUUUGAGCAGAAGUUCAAAAUGGUAGCAGUAGCAUCAUCACCAUCACUUGUUAGUCAUAGGCCAUACAAACAAUGUCAGAAAUUACACAUAGGAAUUACAUGAGAGAUUAAAACCAAUACUUAUACAGCAUAAGACAAAAUUAAAAUCAUAACAACGUUAGAACAGCAUCUUAUGAUUACGGCUUGCUUCUUUCUGAGCUUAAUUGAUAAGAACAUAAAAGAGACCACUUCCUGAAUGAUUUUAAGAAAACAAUUUAUUUUCCUUGCUAGUUUUCAGUUUCUCUAAUUUGUUUGUAAAAUAUCCAUUUCUGAUAUUGAGGUAUAGAGGGCAAGAUAUUACAUAAUGUAGGGCAUCCUCCAUCUGAAUGGAACCCACAAACAAAUACAUUGGGCGAUUGGCUUAUUUGCUUAUCUUCCAUUUAAAGAGUCAGAGGGAAAGCAUUGAAAUCUAAGGCUAGUAAAAGCCUUUCUUAGGUUUGCAUUUGUGAGAUUGUUAAGAUCGGGGGCCAGACAUUUGUGUUUCUUUACCCUGGAAAACCGGGGAGCAAAAUUUGAAGUUGCAGGACUUUCUUCAUCCACAAGGGCGUCCUUUUUCAAUAGUUGUUCUCAUAUUUUACUAACUUCCCAGUCCUUGAUACAAUCUAGGGAGGAUAUCUCACAGAGGUUUAAUAGUGUACGUAAUUGUUGUUCUCACAUAUUAGUUUGAUUUCCAUAACCUAAACGGUGCCUGGCUAGAUGUUCUUGAGACAGACCUGUUAAUCUUUUAUAGUGUAAGAGCAGCCUAAGAUGGAUUCCUGUUUUUAUUGCCGGAACACCAGUUUCUAAGCAUCGAAGUUGUACCGCUUGUACCCAUAGAUGAAAAUCCAGGGUUCGAUACUUGGGGAGGUUGUUUGUUUGAAGCAUCCUUAUUAGUUGCAGACCCCUGUUCUUGUUGGUCCAGUCUCAUUAUCAUAUCCUGUUGCUCAGAAGGCAAGUUUAGGUAAGAAUUUUUUACCGUGUCCUUCAAUAUUUCACAUCCCAUGAAGGAAAAGUAAUUCAGUUCAUUUUUAAAAUUGUUAUCGAUUUAUCUGAAUUGCAUAUUAAAUGGAUGCCAGUUUGCAAAA